CGCGGCAGCAGCGCAGACGACAUGGACAGCUUGUGAUAGGCCCCUAAUCGAAGUUUUGUUUAAUUUCGACAUGCACGUUACCCCAGUAUGGAGGAUGACCCAUAUGAAGAUGAAAGUUGUCCUGACUUUGAGCCAGCAGUCCAGUCUACUGGUCCGUCAGAAGCAGUGUUGUGUGUUCAGAGAAUGCUUGGAGAACAACUUGACACUAACAUUUCUUUAGAACAGCAAGCUUCUAAAAGCAGGUCAUUCACCCAGGCUGCUGCAACCUUCAGACCUUUUGUCGAGCAGGCCAGCGGUCAAUUAUCCCUGGAGGAGUUUCAGGCCCUUGAGAGAGAGCACGAGGGACUUGAGAAGCUAAGAGCAUGCGGUCUGAGCGAUGAAGAAAUUGCCCUCAAAUUGGAGCAUGAGGGCAGACACCUGUCUAACCUCCUUUAUCCUCACAAGCGCCAUCGUUCCAUUGCUGAUCCGGUUGCUAGGCUGAAACGUCUCAAGGAAGUGGAAGGCAAAAUCCAAAGGAAAAAGGCAUCACUCAGCUCAUCCCAAGAUGCUGCUUCUUCUGACAACAAAGAGACAGAUAACGACCUUCAAGGAAGUGCCAUCAGCUCACCUAAACAUCCUUCAUUACUCAGCAAGAAGUUUGUCCAUCCUGAUGAUCCCAUCAACCAUCUAGACACUAUCACCGCUGGCCUGUUUGGGGAAAGUAGUCAAGGUAAACAAGUUAGAAAUGUUUCUCAGAGAAGUGGAAAUGCCGUGUCCCUCAUGGCUGAACCCUCCGGAGGAUGCAGUCCAGGUUGCCAAGGCAACGGACCUCAUGCAGCAAAAAAGGAAUGGCAGGCUAAUGAGUGCUCCUCUAAGGAAAAAUCUGUGGAUGGCUACCAAGAUGGAUUAAGAGUAAAAUGUGCAUUAGAGACCUGCGGCAGGGAUUCCUGUCGGGAGUCUAUCACAAAACGUGCUCUUCACAUCAGUAAAGACGGAAAUUUGACUAACACCCCUGAGCAAGAAAUAGCCCUGGAGGGCUGUCCAGAGGAGGAGAUUUCAAAUAGUGCCAUAGGGAGUCAAGAAACAGGAAAGAUAUCUCGGCAGAUCUCUGGGGUCCAAGGAAAAUGCAUGGAUGAACAAGAUGAGGAUAAGAAGCCCCGUAGACUGGCCUGUAUUGUCAGUCCUUUGUCACGAGAGGAUUUAUUGCACCAUCAUCUAAGUCAGGAUGACAUUCGUAGGAUGGAGCGCUUUGCAAACUACUCACCAGGGGAACCAAGCAAGGUUCUCUACCUUAAGAACCUGUCGACGAAAGUCACAGAGGCUGAUCUGGCAUCACUCUUUAUCAGUUUCCAGCAUCCUGACAAACCUAAGAUUAUCUUCAAACUUCUCAAAGGAAGGAUGAAAGGGCAAGCUUUUGUGACCUUUGCAGACACAGAAAUGGCAGUUGAAGCAAUGGCACAUGCCAAUGGUUAUCCCUUGAAAGGGAAACCAGUGAUCAUUCAGUUUGGAAAGCAGAGAUGACGGACGACAAGUGACAUCAUGAGAGUCUUCCCCCAAAAUGAAAUCUGUUGCUAGCUUUAGCUCAUCUCCCGCUGGUGUCUUCUUCAUCAAUAUCGCCAUCAUCAUCAGUAGAUGUGGCAUCAUCACUUUCGUCAACGUUAAGUCUUUAGUUCCAAGUCAACACGACAGUGCUCCAGGUCUACAGAUUAUUGGAAACAUUCUGACCCUUCUUCUCAUCAAUCAAGAAAUUGAAAAUUUAGCAAGAUCUCAAAUCCACGGAGAAUAUUCAUGAGAGCUUGUUGGAUCUGCAAGCGCCCUUCGCAAGGCCUACUGACUGAAUGUUAGAGUCGAUAGAGAAUCUACAAGUCUCCAGUGGGAAUGAAUACCAGGUUUAAGACCGACGACUUUGACGAUAAAUGAUUCAAUUUGAUCCUCCGUCCAGCAGCCCAUUGGCAAGCUGUCAUUUCUGUUGUUCCGCACUCGCGGCUAGUCGACGAUGCAUAAUGACUUCAGUGGCAGUCCCGGUGAGUAAAUAGUAGAAUCGAUGGAUCUCUACUGGAUUUCAGCUUAUCCUGUUCAAAUUGAAAAGGUAUAAAAUUUCAUUUCUUUUCGUGAUGACUUUAAAUACGCUCGACAUUUUUGGGAGAAAUUUUGAAAAGUUCCAAAAAUAUCAAAUCUAUUACUGAUGGAAAUUGUCCACUUCAAAUCGUUUAGAGAUUUGGCUACAUGCUAGGAACUUCACUUUUAGGAGUCGUAUUACAAGACGAAAUUUCUUUGAGCAAUUGGUAAAUACGGUUACAGAGGUAGGUCGUAUUGCAGACAAAAUACUCGACGCACGGUUGACGGACCAAUAAAACGCACGCACUAUUUUUACAAGACAUGGAACUAGGCAAAAAGUAGUCAGUGAGCUGUGCACAAUGACUUCAUCAAAUGUGCUUGCAGAGAUCGCGGAAGUUGAAACAUUGAAAAUGUCAGGCCAAAUGCUACAGGCUACUGUAAUCCAAGCGUAAUUUGACUUUUUCUUUCGCUCAUCGAAUAAAAGACAUUGCUUAAAGGAUGAAGUAUCCUUUGCUUUUCCUGGCACGCGCCAGAUGAAGUUCAGGAGAUGUUGUUCAUCGUGCUCAUGGGAUCCCUUACCAAGUCUCCAAAGACGACAUCCCCACGUCAACUAUCACCUCUUUACUUGAUUUGGCACGAUCUUAAUUAAACCCAACAUUCAGUGUCCAAUUUAUACUUGCUUGGGGCACACAAACGAAACAGGCAACGAGUUGACCAAACUCCACAGUAUAAUGAUGAAGUCACGUCUCGGAGCUGGUUCAGUGAUUCAAAUUGUACAUUUAAAUUAUUUCUGAGCUAAAAUCUUGAUAAUGGAAGGCGUUCUUCCAUUCUUAAAUACUCGCUAAGCCUUGUCUUCAGUGACUGGAAUUGGUUUAAGUGUCGUUUGUCUUGAUGAUGGAAAUUGAAUUGUAGAAUAUUCAUCAUCGUAUCUACAAUAAUGUGCGUCAUCGUUCAAGUAAAAAGAAAGUUGAUCUUGUACCUUAAAAUAAAAUUUUAAAUUUGCACAUUUGAAAAAGACAGCGUAAAAAAAUGCGUACUGUUUGAAGUACGGGAUAAAAGCUAAACAUGGACAAUAAAGUCGUACUCAAAUUACCCAUUACCAGAUUGCCUGGUUUGUUUGUACUAUUAUUUUUUCAUCGAAGUAAUUGAUGAUCUUAUGUGUAAUUAUCUUCCCAUUGUGUAAGAUCCAAGUUGAUCGCUCCACAAAUCAUUGAGACCGAAAUAUAAUAUUUGCUUGGUGUCCAUGAUUAGCAUCUCUUCCGCCUCGAGCCUCUGUGAGACGAAACGCCAACGAUAAAACAAGCUGUUGUGCGUGUUUAAGACUUGUCAUUCAGUAAGUGUUAUUCAUGCUCCAGUUCACACUCAUUAAAAAAACAACGGGAGAGGAAAAAGAUGUCUUGCCAGCGACACAGAGGAGUUACCGCAUUGUCAACUGACAGUAGCUUUGCCUCUCGAAGGGAGCAGAAAGUCGGAAUAAAUUAUUUGAAAUUGGAUUGCCACGUUAAGCAUGUUUACCUCAUCUUCACCUAUUUGACUCA